AUGAACGCUGGCGGCGUGCCUAAUACAUGCAAGUCGAGCGAACAGACGAGGAGCUUGCUCCUCUGACGUUAGCGGCGGACGGGUGAGUAACACGUGGAUAACCUACCUAUAAGACUGGGAUAACUUCGGGAAACCGGAGCUAAUACCGGAUAAUAUAUUGAACCGCAUGGUUCAAUAGUGAAAGCCGGUUUUGCUGUCACUUAUAGAUGGAUCCGCGCCGCAUUAGCUAGUUGGUAAGGUAACGGCUUACCAAGGCAACGAUGCGUAGCCGACCUGAGAGGGUGAUCGGCCACACUGGAACUGAGACACGGUCCAGACUCCUACGGGAGGCAGCAGUAGGGAAUCUUCCGCAAUGGGCGAAAGCCUGACGGAGCAACGCCGCGUGAGUGAUGAAGGUCUUCGGAUCGUAAAACUCUGUUAUUAGGGAAGAACAAAUGUGUAAGUAACUAUGCACGUCUUGACGGUACCUAAUCAGAAAGCCACGGCUAACUACGUG
rnacentral:rRNA from 1 species